CACGUAGGCGGCUUCUUAAGUCAGGGGUGAAAUCCUGGAGCUCAACUCCAGAACUGCCCUUGAUACUGAGAAGCUUGAGUCCGGGAGAGGUGAGUGGAACUGCGAGUGUAGAGGUGAAAUUCGUAGAUAUUCGCAAGAACACCAGUGGCGAAGGCGGCUCACUGGCCCGGUACUGACGCUGAGGUGCGAAAGCGUGGGGAGCAAACA
rnacentral:rRNA from 1 species